CUGGGUAUAGUCGAGUUGGUAAGAUGCUUGGUUUGGGACCAAGAGACCGCAGGUUCGAAUCCUGCUAUCCAGA
rnacentral:tRNA from 1 species